AAAAGGGUUGCUGAAUGAUUAUGAAAUAAAUGUUGAUAGGGGGUUGUGCACAAACCCUUCUCUAAAUUUUUGUAAUAUUUUUACCAAGCAGUUGGCUCACCCUUUCCAUUUUUAAAAGAAAUCUACAAAUUCUACUUCUCCACAAUCAUUCUUCCUUAAAGAUUUUCUGUUCUGCUAUAACUGGAUUAUGAACUACAAGAGUCUUUGCUUUCUGACUCUCAGUAUUGUUAUAAUUUAUUAUGCUGCACGCCAGAGAAAAUGGGUUGAGCAUGAUCAGCUUUCUAAAUUCCACUGAUGUGUUUGAUCUUUGUAUUUUGCAGCUACCAUUUAUAGUGGGAAAAUGUGCCCAUUCCAUUUUCAUCCCACUUUGCAUAAAAACUGGAUAAUUAUUUUCACUGGAAUAUAACUGCUGAUGAUUCUGAAAGCAAAAUAAAAGAAAUCUUUGACAUUGUCUUAGCAACAGUUCAAGGAUAUAAACCACAAUCAGCCCUCUACAUUUGCUAAGGUUAUGGGGUAAAGGUUCUCUGUGGAAGUGAAAAACUGCUUUACCUGAGAGAACAACAGCUCUCCAGGAUUCUCUAGUUCUUCCAGCAUGACUCUAUGACCAACGUCCACUGGAAGCCGACCACAGAAUCAAAUCAGAGAACCUAGAAAUUUCCAGACAGGUGUUCUUUCUAUAAAUCUCUAGGUCUCCCAGCAUAAUUGCAGAAGGUUGACCAUAGGGUCACACUGGAGAGCCUAGAGAUUUCUAGUGAUAACAUUUUAAGUCAAAUCUGCAAAAAUCAAAACUGAAAAUGUGGAGGGACAGUGUGGAGGACUGGCUUGGUUCUUGACAUGUGAUAUUUGAAAUUCCCCUCAUGACUCCCCACGGAAUCACAAAAUUCAAUAGGUAACUUUGGGCAAUUUCUUCUACUCAGCCUUAUCUAUACAGUAUUGUGAAGAUAGAGUGGGAAGUCGAAAUACCAUUUAUAUUACUUGUAUUUCAUUGGAUUUUUGUCUCUCUUCCUCCUAUUGUGCAUAUGGUUGUGGCUGUAAGCCUUCAAGUUGUUUCUGAUUCAUGGUGACCCCAAGGUCCAGGUUUCUUGACAAUAUUUUGCCUUUCCUCUGAGGCUGAAAAGGUGUUACUUGUCUAAGGUUUCCAUGACUGAGUAGGGAUUCUGACCUGGUCCAACACCCAAACCACUUUUGUAUAAAGCUCAUCAUCCUGGCUUUUCAACCAUUCUGUAUCACUUUAGAGCAUGUUGUAUGUCCAUUCUGUGGGAAGAUUUAACAGAAGUUUUGGAUUGUAUCCAGUAGUAACAUUCUGCUAAUUGAAGAAACUGCUGCCAAAUUCCUCCUCUUCCUCCUGCUUACCCAGAGCCACCUCAAAACAGAUAAAAGAGGCAUGCAGAAAGACAGGAAUAAAGGAAAUUUGUAUGAACAAAAAUCCACUGUUUGAUGUCAUCUAUUGGCUUGGUGGAGGGUUUAUACCUAACAAGGAUUUGUUCUGCAAUUUUACUGGUCCAUGUAUUUUGGAUACAUAACCAUUUUUCACAGUAAGAGCAGUAAGAGUUAAUUUACUGUGCUAGAACUAAAUUGUUUUAUAAAUAUCACAGAAUCCCCAAAUAUACAUAUGGAUACUUAAGAAUAUUUAUAAUGCUGCUAUGAACUUAAAAAAAGCUUAAUGGAUUUCCUUUGCCCUAAGCCAAAUCCCUGAAAUUUGGCUGUGUGAAGAGAGUGAUAUGAAAUUAUAACCACAGCUAGCUGAUUAUAGAGCAGAUCAUUAAAUCCUAGAAGAUUUAGCACUCAGUUCAACAACUGUAUACAAAUCAUAUUGAGAAACACUCAAGAGUCUAUACUCAUGUUUUCACAAAUGCCCUGCAGGUACAUAUAAUGAGGGUGAGAAACACUGGGACACAUCCCAGUUCUAAGAGACUGUUUUAAAAGCAGAGUUGAGAAUUGAUUACGUUUUGCAUUACUGGGCUGCUGUGAGAAGGCCUCCGACAAUACAUUUUGCAUAAUUGUUAAACAGAAACGGCCGUGCAGAACAUUAAAAGAAUGCCAUAAUUUACUCAUUUACAAAAAUUCAGCUUCUUACCUUCAUGUUGCUUAUUAUGGCAACUACAGAGUGGGGGCCACCAUGGGGGGAAAGCAAGAAUCGUUGUUGUUGUUGUUAUGUUUAUUUAUACCCUGCUUUUUCUCUCCACAAAGGAGACCCAAAGAAACUCAGUGACAUUAUGCAUCACAAGGCAGGAUGGGAGACAAUGUGUGGGCAUAGAGCACAGCUCCAUCAUUCUUCCAUUUUCUUUGACAGUUACUCAGUCUACCCACUUACCCUCAUGGUUAAUAUUGGUCAGUAAUCAGACCAGCCCCCUCCCUCCUGACCUUCAGGAAGAAAGUAAACAUGUGGUUGUGGGACCAAGCCUUUGGAUAGAAAAUUUUAGUGCAAUAAGACAAUAAGGAAUAGUGAAAUGACAAAUGGAAUGGCCUUGGAUCAUGAUUUUGGAUGGUGUGAUUUUAAUAAUUGUUUAUAAAUUGAGUUGUUUUGAUGAUUUUGGUUUUAAUGUAACUGUUUAUUUUUAUUGUAUGUAUGUUUAUGGCAUCAAAUUGCUGCCUAACUGUAAGGCCGCUCUGAGUCCCCUUUGGGGUGAGAAGGGCAGGAUAUAAAUGAGGUAAAUAAAUAAAUAUAUAAAUCUUCUCCUUUAACCAUGACAAAGAAGGGUGUUUUCCCUAUCUUGUCCCAAUUCUCCAUUGUAAUAUGGGGCAAUUUACUUUGGGUGGUACCUUAAACAAGUUGACUGGAUUUAUUAAGCUUCUUUAAUAUUUAUUGCAUUAUGAAUUUUAUUUGUAAAAUUGUUAUUUAAUUGUAAAUAAUUAUCACCUUGGCUGCUUUUGGCAGAUUAAUGUGAAAAGAGGGAAAAUAACAGCGAGCACUCAGGGGAAUAUUUUGUGAAAGGGAGUUCUCCAGACUUCUCUGGAGAACUCAAGGAUGGGAAUAGGAACAACCUUUAAGAUUAGACUUGAGUGGCUUUUUCAUUUAUGGUUCAAGAUUUGAGAGGGAGAUCAGUAGUUUUAGACUUCCUGGGAUGGACUGACUGAGUGCCAGUUAAAUCUAUUGUUUUGUCUCUGGAAUCAGGAAUUGCUUGCUCUUGAAAUAUUGAAGGAAAAGUAAAUACAGUAGAGUCUCACUUAUCCAACAUUCGCUUAUCCAACAUUCUGGAUUAUCCAAUGCAUUUUUGUAGUCAAUGUUUUCAAUACAUUGUGAUAUUUUGGUGCUAAAUUCAUAAAUACAGUAAUUACUACAUAGCAUUACUGAGUAUCGAACUACUUUUUCUGUCAAAUUUGUUGUAUAACAUGAUGUUUUGGUGCUUAAUUUGUAAAAUCAUAACCUAAUUUGAUGUUUAAUAGACUUUUCCUUGAUCCCUCAUUAUCCAACAUAUUCGCUUAUCCAAUGUUCUGCCGGCCCGUUUAUGUUGGAUAAGUGAGACUCUACUGUACAUGUACCAUGGAGCUCUUUUUUGGAUCAGUUUAAAUAGUUAAUAAAGUGGCCCUUAGUUUACUCAUACAUUUAUAUCUCUGUUUCAAAUCUGAUGGUCAGUUUGGGUUAUCUCAAUUGAAUAAACAUGAAAUCUAUAUCAAGGGACCAACAUGACUUUUUGAGUGAAUCAUAUGAAUUUUGUCAAGAAAACAAAAGGUACAUUUUUGAAAAGUUAUUUUUGUGGCUACAUCUCCCCAACUACAAUGACUGUGGGAGUUGUAAUACAAAGAACUGUUACCAGCUCUGGUUUCUAAAUAUCUGUAUCUAUAUCUAUAUCUAAUCUAAUCUAAUCUAAUCUAAUCUAAUCUAAUCUAUCUAAAUCCAUAAUAAAAGUGAAAACCCGUAGCACUGAUGUCUGCUCACACAGUCAGCCUCCGGCCUCCACAAACAGGCUAUAGUUCCCAGGGUUAAGAAUCCUGCAAGUCACCCUUUUGCACUGACAUUGAGGUUACAGCGAGCUCCAUGAACAUGCAGCCCAGCCCCUGCCAAUGUCCUUCCCAAACACUACAGCCCACCACCCAAGGAAUGCUUUCGUUUGGGGACCAUUUCAUCCUAGAUUUUUCUUUUUCUUCCACCACAGGCAGGCAUUCCAGAGUUCUCCAUUGCUGUGGAAUUUGCAUGGCCCCGCCCACUGCCCUUCCCUUUCCAAUCUCUCUGCAUAACAAACAGAGCAAACUUACUGGAGGAGUUUAUGGAUUGACUCCACAUGGUGGAAGUUGUAGUUCACCCUGCAUCAAGUCAGAGCACUGUCACUCCUACUGGGGAAUAUAGAGGAGUUGUAGUUCACCUACACCCAGAACACUAUGAACCCAAAUAAUGAUGGCUCUCGACCAAACUUGCCAUGCAGACCUAAUAUGUCCAGAUUUGACUACUGGUGGGUUUGGAGGGGAACUGGACUGGAAGUUGAGGAGUAGUAGGAACUGGGAUUUAUAGUUCACUUGCAAUGAAUGAGCAUCAAACUUGGCACACAGAGCCCCCAUAACCAAUACAACAAAUUGGACAAGUUUGGGAAAAAGGGAGUUGUAGUUCACCUGCAACCAGAUAAACACUGACCCCCACCGACAAUGCACUAGGACCACACUUCACACAGAGAAGCCUCAUGACCUCCUGAACAUACUGCAGGUAUUUGUGGGAAGGGCCUUGAUUUUGAAAGUUGUAUUUCACCUCCAUCCAAAGACUACUGAACCCAGCCAAUGACGAAUCUAGACCAAACUUGCCACACAGACUGAAUAUUGUCUCCUGUGGAUACUGAUAGAUAUUUCGGGGCAAUUGCCCCAGGAAUCUGGAAGUUGCAGUACUUCACCCCCAUCCAGACAGCACUGCAGCACAACUGGUACACACACCCAAAAUGGCCAACUUAUCAUACUGGCAGGGUUUGGGGAGGAUUCAGCCACGAUUCUGGGAAUUGUAGUUUACCCACUCCAAACACAAUACAUAACAUUAAAAGACAAAUAAUACCAUUCUCAAAUGACCCGGGCAUCGCCGGGUCCCCAAGAUAGUCCAUAAUAAAAGUGAAAAAUCUGUAUGUGUGUAUGUGGCACGGGUGUCUGUUCAGACAGACAGCCUCCGGCCUCCACAAACAGGCUAUAGUUUCCAGUGCUGUGAAGCCACCAAGUCACUCCCUCACCUGACUUUGCAGGUUAUAGUGAGCACCACGAACAUGCAGCCCAAACCCUGCCAGUGUCCUCCACAAACACCAUCCUGCCCCGCACCCAAGUGAAGGGCCCAUUUCAUCCCCAGGGUUCCUUCAUUUGCAUGACCCCACCCACUGCCUCUACCUUAACUCUUUCUUACCAUUUCCUGGCACACAGUGAACAGAGGAAUUGAUCAGCAACUGAACAAGAGUUUAGGGGAGAAUUCACACCAUGAUUUACAACACUUGUACUUGACCUACAUCCAGAGAGUACUGUUCACCUAACCAACAAUGCGUCUAGACCACACUUGCCAGGGAUGAUGGGAACUUGUAGUACCUUCACUGGUACUGUGACCCCCACUGACAAUGGAUUGGGAUCAAACUUGGCACAGAGAAGCCCCAUGACCAACUGAACAUACUACAGGGGGUAGUGGGAAUGGACCUUGAUUUUGGGAGUUAUAGUUCACCUGCAUCCAGAAAGCACUGAACCCAGCUGACGUCAGAUCUCGACCAAACUUGGCACAUCGACCCAACAUGGCCAACUGUGCAUACAUGCCUGGUUUGGGGGUGAUUUAUCUCGGAUCUUGGAGUUGUAGUUCACCCUUAUCUAGACAGCACAGAACCCAGCUGAUGUCAGAUCUCGACCAAACUUGGCACACAGACCACCCAUGACCCACCCUACAUCCUGGCAUUGUUUGGAGGAGGAUGGACCAUGGACAAUCGCACUUGCAUAUGGAAGUUUUAGUUCACCCACACCCAUUGAACCCAGCUGACUUCGGAUCUGGACCAAACUUGCCACACAGCCCUAACAUGGCCAACUGUACAUACAGGCCUGGUUUUGGGUUGAUUGACCUUUGCUCUGGGAGUAGUAGUUCACCCUUAUCCAGACAACAUUGAACCCAGCCAACGACAGAUCUAGACCAAACUUGCCACAGAGAUGCCCCAUGACCAACUAAACAUACUGUAGGGGUUUAGGGGAAUUAAGAGAAGAUUUUGAUUUUGGGAGUUAUAGUUCACCUGCAUCCAGAAAGUACUGAACCCUGCUGACAUCAGAUGUCGACCACAUUUGGCACACAAACCCAACAUGGCCAAUUCUGCAUACAGGCCUGUUUUGGGGGUGAUUGUCUUGGGAAUCUGGAAGUUGUAGUUCACCCUUAUCCAGACAGCACUGAACCCAGCCAAUGACGGAUCUGGACCAAACUUAAGUGAUAUUUCCUAACAUCCCAAAACAAACAGUGCCUUCUUCUAAUAACCCGGGCAUUUCCGGGUCCCCAAGCUAGUUCAUAAUAAAAAUGAAUCUUCCUUUUCAGUCUGCACCCUGUUUUUAACCUGCUUCAAAUGUGUGAGUCUAUCUGUCUUCUUGUUUUUGACAGCCAGAAGACAUGAAACUACACAUUGAUUCUAUUGGGUCUCCUGUAGGACUGCGGUUGGACUACAAUUUCCACUUUCUGCUCUGGCCUGUGCACUCAGAGAGACAAAGGGAGCACUAAAAUGAGUUCCAUUCUUGGAGGAAAAACAAUCUGAAUAAGGACAAAAAGAUGUGCUAUUGGAUAGAUAGGCGAAUUUCAUAUUUCAACUUCAACUUUCAGUACUGUAAAUAGAACAAGGUUGCAAGAUUGAUAGCACAGAGUGCUGCUAUUACUCCAAUUUCACUUACUGAAAAUUACUUGGCAGCAAAUGAUCAGACUUGUUAAAUGUGAUCAUUGAAGUGUGGGUGAUUCCCCCCCCCCACACACAUGGAAAAAGAAGAGUACAAAUUUCAUGAAGCAAUCUGAACAAGUAAGUGAAAUCGCCACAAUAACAUCUACCAGGACUUAUGAAACUAAGAAUGGUGAAUGUCUUGCCUACAUUCACGAAGAUAAUUCUGAAAGGAACUAUUUGCAGGGGGAGGGUUUCUCUUCACAUGCUGGUCAUCUUCACAUGCUGUUCCAUUUUGCUGGCAGCCAUGUAUGCUCCUUUCCUCCUUCCCCUAUCGUAUGGUGGGGACAGGACAAGGCACGUUGACACCCCAUCAGAUGGGCGAAAGGGUGGCAAUGCAUGUUGCCCUAUUGCCCUUUCCCUCAUUAUAUGGGGGGAAAGAGAAGAAAAUGCAGGUAGCUCCAAAAAAAAAAAAACCACUUUCCUCUCUGUAGUGGCAGAGGAAACAUCUGGUGACACUUCCCCUCCACUUUGGGAGGAGAGUUGGCAGGGACAAGCCAGCCUCAUUUGAUGACGCUCAACAAGCCCUGUCCAAAAGAAGAAAAAGCAGACAAAAAACCCUGUGUGAAAAGGUCCUUAGUCUUAUAAUCACAACAUGUGUUUUGGGUGAAGAGAAUCCUUCUGAGUAGUUGCUCCCAGGAACUCCUCUUUGCUCUCCUUCUGCCAGCAAGCAAAACCUUUUUUUUUUGAGCAGGUUCUUGACUCAGAACUCACAUAUCAGAAGGGUAUAAUUUUAAAAUGCAUUAUGCUAUGUUUAAAUCAUUUGAAUUAUCCUUUCAAUGUGUUUUAAACUGAUUUAGAUUUUGAAAUUUUUAUACAGUUACUUAUUUGAUUGUUUUUAUUUUUACAUAAUAAGAUUUUUGCAAUACUUUAUAUUGCUGUAUUUUAUUUUUAGCCACUUUUGUUCUUGUGCCAGGAUGCAUUUGGAAUAUAAAUCAAUUAAUUCAGCGAAUCAAUAUAAAAUGUAAAUUUCCCUGCUUCAUGGAAUGAUCCUGGACUUAUCCACAGGUCAUAUAAAGAUCCAUAAUUUUGGCCCUCAAACUUGCCCUCGACUAAUACAUGAUGUCAACCAGAGGCGGUCCAACCAUAAGGCGAAAUAGGCAUUUGCCUGUGGCGCCAUCGUCCCGGGGGCACCAUCGUCCUGGGAGGAGGGCACCACUCUCCACCUCCUUCUCUUUCGGGCCUUCCAGCGGCCGCGCUGGGCCUUCCGGCCAGCGCAGGCCCAUCUUCGCACCACGCAAGCCCACCUUUGGGGCCUUCAGAGAUUGUGAGGUCUGUAGGAACUUGGAAGCUAGGUAUGUGGGGUUUAUAUAUCUGUAGAAGGUCCAGGGUGAGAGAAAGAACUUUUCUUUGAAGCAGGUGUGAAUGUUGUAAUUAAUCACCUUGAUUAGCAUUUAAUGGCCCUGUGGCUUCAAGGCCUGGCUUCUUCUUGCCUGAGAGAAUCUUUUUUUGGGAGGAGUUAGCUGUCCCUGAUUGUUUACUGUCUGGAUUUCUUCUGUUUUCAGAGUGUUGUUCUUUAUUUAUUGUCCUGAUUUUAGAGUUUUUUUUUAAUACUGAGGGCUAUCUGGGUUAUCUAAGUCCACACUGCCCUAUAUCCCUGUUCAAUGUUUAGUGCUAAAUUUGCAAAUAUAGUAAUUCCUACAUAACAUUACCAUGUAUUGAACUGCUUUUUCUAUUGAUUUGUUGUAAAACAUGAUGUUUUGGUGCUUAAUUUUUAAAAUCAUAAUGUAA